rnacentral:rRNA from 1 species
GACGAACGCUGGCGGCGUGCCUAAUACAUGCAAGUAGAACGCUGAAGGAGGAGCUUGCUUCUCUGGAUGAGUUGCGAACGGGUGAGUAACGCGUAGGUAACCUGCCUGGUAGCGGGGGAUAACUAUUGGAAACGAUAGCUAAUACCGCAUAAUAGCAGUUGUUGCAUGACAACUGUUUGAAAGGUGCAAUUGCACCACUACCAGAUGGACCUGCGUUGUAUUAGCUAGUUGGUGGGGUAACGGCUCACCAAGGCGACGAUAUAUAGCCGACCUGAGAGGGGGAUCGGCCACACUGGGACUGAGACACGGCCCAGACUCCUACGGGAGGCAGCAGUAGGGAAUCUUCGGCAAUGGACGGAAGUCUGACCGAGCAACGCCGCGUGAGUGAAGAAGGUUUUCGGAUCGUAAAGCUCUGUUGUAAGAGAAGAACGAGUGUGAGAGUGGAAAGUUCACACUGUGACGGUAUCUUACCAGAAAGGGACGGCUAACUACGUG